AGAGGCUAUUGACCCUGAUGGUGGUAAUUAUCAACAACCAAACUCUGCGAAUAAACAAUGUCCAGCCUGGUGAUGAGGGAUUGUACACUUGCUCCAAUGCUGAAGGGAAUGUGUUACCAAUAUCUUGUGUGGUAGUCAGCGGUUUGGCUCGUUUUGCUACUUGUGACCCACCAAAUCCAUUCACGUACAGCCCGGGUGUGGUAUCACGUAGCAACAGCUGCUACGAAGAAAUAAAUGUCACAGAGGGACGAGUUACCCUGGAUACUAGAAUCAUGUACUCUCCAGGUGGGUGUUGCAACUGCAGAGAAGACAUCAACAUAUUUACAAUACGCUUGGAAACCCCAAUCAACUCCAUACUGUAUAAUUGUGAUGAUCAACAGCGAUUGUCCUAAUAAAAAUGGAGUUGUUGUGAAUUGACAAAGCUCUUUAUUUUAUGACUUUAAAGUUGAGCUACAACUAAAUGCAAGUGACAGUGCUCAGCUCAUUUAUGUGGCAAGUGAAUUGAGGCAACCGGGCGAAACGAUUUUAGGUAUUUCUGGAAGAUAUUUAGUGUGACAGUCAAUCAAGUGACGCUGUAUGAUUGUCGUGAUUUGGCCAGUGGAUGUUCAGAAUGUAUUGCGGCCAGAAUAGGGUCAGAGUUCGCAUGUGGGUGGUGUGGGUGGAGGUAUAGUUGUGAGGUGAUGCAAGAGUGCUCCACUGAUCGUUUCGUUAUUGAGGGGGACAAUUCUCCUGCCCCUGUCAUCAACUCGUUCACUCCAAUGUCCGACAUUGUGCCCACUGAAUCCCCUCAUCGCUAUGUCAACCUUCCGUCAGGUAGACCCUCUAACAACUGAGAACAGUGCAUAUGGCCUCAGGGAAGAAAUGACUACAACAGACUAUUAACUUUCACUAUGAAAAAAUGAUGUCGAAUGAUUGUCCUAUACUUACCCUAUAAUUAUCAUGCCGAUAUUUUAAUGUUCUGUUUUAAUUCUGUUUAAUUUUUGCCAAUCGAUUAAAAUAGCGGUUAAACAUGAAUGCC